rnacentral:rRNA from 1 species
AGUGAACGCUGGCGGUAGGCCUAAUACAUGCAAGUCGAACGGCAGCACAGUAAGAGCUUGCUCUUACGGGUGGCGAGUGGCGGACGGGUGAGGCAUACAUCGCAAUCUACUUUUUCGUGGGUGAUUACGUAGGGCAACUUACGCUACUACCGCAUACGACCUACGGGUGAAAGCAGGGGAUCUUCGGACCUUGCGCGACUGAAUGAGCCGAUGUCGGAUUAGCUAGUUGGCGGGGUAAAGGCCCACCAAGGCAACGAUCCGUAGCUGGUCUGAGAGGAUGAUCGGCCACACUGGAACUGAGACACGGUCCAGACUCCUACGGGAGGCAGCAGUGGGGAAUAUUGGGCAAUGGGCGCAAGCCUGAUCCAGCCAUACCGCGUGAGUGAAGAAGGCCUUCGGGUUGUAAAGCCCUUUUGUUGGGAAAGAAAAGCAGCAGAUUAAUACCCCGCUGUUCUGACGGUACCCAAAGAGUAAGCACCGGCUAACUUCGUG